rnacentral:rRNA from 1 species
AGAGUUUGAUUAUGGCUCAGAACGAACGCUGGCGGCAGGCUUAACACAUGCAAGUCGAGCGAACGUAGCAAUACGUGAGCGGCGCACGGGAGAGUAAUACGUGGGAACCUACCUUUUGGUUCGGAAUAACGUCGGGAAACUGACGCUAAUACCGGAUAAGCCCUAUGGGGGAAAGAUUUAUUGCCGAAAGAUGGGCCCGCGUUAGAUUAGCUAGUUGGUGGGGUGACGGCCUACCAAGGCGACGACGGGUAGCCGGCCUGAGAGGGCGACCGGCCACACUGGGACUGAGACACGGCCCAGACUCCUACGGGAGGCAGCAGUGGGGAAUAUUGCGCAAUGGGCGAAAGCCUGACGCAGCGACGCCGCGUGAGGGACGAAGGCCUUCGGGUUGUAAACCUCUUUCAGCAGGGACGAAGCGAAAGUGACUGUACCUGCAGAAGAAGCACCGGCUAACUACGUGCCAGCAGCCGCGGUAAUACGUAGGGUGCGAGCGUUGUCCGGAAUUAUUGGGCGUAAAGAGCUCGUAGGCGGUCUGUCGCGUCGGAUGUGAAAACUCGGGGCUCAACUCCGAGCCUGCAUUCGAUACGGGCAGACUAGAGUUCGGUAGGGGAGACUGGAAUUCCUGGUGUAGCGGUGAAAUGCGCAGAUAUCAGGAGGAACACCGGUGGCGANNNCGGGUCUCUGGGCCGAUACUGACGCUGAGGAGCG